UGGUGCUGUGUGUCUCUGGCUCACGCUCCUCAUUAACAGCUUGGCUCUCCCUGGGGGACAGCAGGAUCUGCCUGACAUUUUUCUGACCAGGAACAUACCGCAGAGAGACACUGCAGGAAGAGGAAUGCAAGCCAAAGAUCAGAUUCGAAAUGAGAUCAUUGGAAGCAUCACGCCUGAGAUUUUAUACUACGUCAGGAAUU
rnacentral:lncRNA from 12 species